rnacentral:rRNA from 1 species
UAUACGACCGUACCGCAAACCGACACUGGUGCGCGAGAUGAGUAUUCUAAGGCGCUUGAGAGAACUCAGGAGAAGGAACUCGGCAAAUUGACACCGUAACUUCGGAAGAAGGUGUGCCCUAUUAGUGUGUAGUGAACAACGAAGCAUGAAUGGGUUGCAAAAAAUCGGUGGCUGCGACUGUUUAUUAAAAACACAGCAUUCUGCAAACACGAAAGUGGACGUAUAGGGUGUGACGCCUGCCCGGUGCUGGAAGAUUAAAUGAUGGGGUGCAAGCUCUUGAUUGAAGUCCCAGUAAACGGCGGCCGUAACAAUAACGGUCCUAAGGUAGCGAAAUUCCUUGUCGGGUAAGUUCCGACCUGCACGAAUGGCGUAACGAUGGCCACACUGUCUCCUCCUGAGACUCAGCGAAGUUGAAAUGUUUGUGAUGAUGCAAUCUCCCCGCGGAAAACGGAAAGACCCCAUGAACCUUUACUGUAGCUUUGUAUUGGACUUUGAACAGAUCUGUGUAGGAUAGGUGGGAGGCUUUGAAGCAGGGUCGCUAGAUCUUGUGGAGCCAACGUUGAAAUACCACCCUGGUGUGUUUGAGGUUCUAACCUAGGUCCAUUAUCUGGAUCGGGGACAGUGCAUGGUAGGCAGUUUGACUGGGGCGGUCUCCUCCCAAAGCGUAACGGAGGAGUUCGAAGGUACGCUAGUUACGGUCGGACAUCGUGACGAUAGUGCAAUGGCAUAAGCGUGCUUAACUGCGAGACUGACAAGUCGAGCAGAUGCGAAAGCAGGACAUAGUGAUCCGGUGGUUCUGUAUGGAAGGGCCAUCGCUCAACGGAUAAAAGGUACUCUGGGGAUAACAGGCUGAUACCGCCCAAGAGUUCAUAUCGACGGCGGUGUUUGGCACCUCGAUGUCGGCUCAUCUCAUCCUGGGGCUGUAGCCGGUCCCAAGGGUAUGGCUGUUCGCCAUUUAAAGAGGUACGUGAGCUGGGUUUAAAACGUCGUGAGACAGUUUGGUCCCUAUCUUCCGUGGGCGCUGCAGAUUUGAGGAAGCCUGCUCCUAGUACGAGAGGACCGGAGUGGACACACCUCUGGUGUAUCGGUUGUCACGCCAGUGGCAUUGCCGAGUAGCUAAGUGUGGAAGAGAUAACCGCUGAAAGCAUCUAAGCGGGAAACUCGUUUCAAGAUGAGAUCUGCCGGGGCCUUGAGCCCCCUAAAGAGUCGUUCAAGACCAGGACGUUGAUAGGUCAGGUGUGGAAGUG